CCUGUGUGAGCCUCUUUGAGACCAUGCGGUUAGUCCAGGAGGUGUUCAUUCAUAAUGUGCUCAUUGCCUGAGGGUUUAACGCAAGAUUACCGUGGUAACCAGGGUAAGCCCGGAACUGCCCUAAAACAGAAAAAGAAAAAAAGAAGAAUGGAAGGGACCAACCCUGGUUACAAGAAAAAAGAAGUUUAUGAUCUGAUAUUACCACAGACUGGAUAAGGGACGGAGGGUGGAGAGGUGACAGCUGCAAACUGGCCUUUCUUUCAAGCAAUGCACAAGGCUCUGGGGCAGAGGGACUCCAUCAGGCCCCUGAACAUCAUCGCCACAGUAGUUGACUCCUCAUCAGACGUUGCAGAGGAGACUGAUGGUGGCCCCAGUACCUCUGCUCCAGGGCCAUCCCCUACCCCAAACCACCUGUCUGGGGGUUCCGAAAGGCCCAAACCAAGAAUGAGAUUCUAGAUUUACCUAAACAAGUACACAGAAAGGCAGGAGAAGAGUCAGAGAGAGAUGGAUGAAAGGGAGGACGAGACAGAAAAGAAAAAGCAUGACCAGCUGGACAAGCCUAUUGGUAUAUUUGGAAACUUGGUGGAAAAGUAGCCAUUCCUUUUUUCGUGUUUUGAAUAUUUUUGUAAAAAUGAGUACAUUAGUUAUUUAACAGUUACCUCUUGUCCACUCUGUAAGGCAAAAGCCUGGAAGAUGUUUAAGUCAGGCAGUCGGUCCCCUGAGCACCUUGGCCGUGAGGAAGGUAAAAGACGUAAAAUAAAAAGUCCCAAACUUAUAAUUGUUCACAGCAUUUUGUGUCGUCAAGGUAACGUGGUAAGUUGCGAAGUGCUGUCCCAAUCCUAUUUGCACCAUUUUGAGCCCUUGCAGCGUGUCACACUCAGUCACCUACCAGCUGGAUUCAGUUAAGCGUGUGAGGGUUCAGGGCUUAAAGUGCGUCCCAGCCGGGUUCAUCACUAAAGUGUCCCCAGGAAACACCUUAAUUGUUGUCUGUUGCCCACGGACAGAGAGCAGCAUGUUCGUGUAUUUGGUUGUGUUGUGAGUAUUUGCAGCACAUGUGUUGUCAAAAUGAUGAAGAUGUUUUCUGAAUGUGUUU